UCUCUCCCUCCCUCUGUGUGUGUGUGUGUGUGUGUGUGUGUGUGUGUGUGUGUGUGUGUGUGUGUGUGUGUGUGUGUGUGUGUGUGUUUUGUUUUCAGUACUUACGAUUUGAAGCCAGAAAUUGGCUACAUUGUUGUUUUUUCCUCUGUGCCACUUUGUACGUUUUAUGAAAUAAAAACUGUUAAUAUUUACAUGA